AGAAUAUCCAACAUUUUUCACACCUUUUGCCCUUCAUCAUCCACCUUGUCCAGAUGAAGGUGUCAUGUCCCCAGCCCCAGGACGUACAAAAUCCCAUUAGUUACUGAAUGACAUCGUACUCCCACCUGAAACCUAAAGUGUUAACCAUAAUGCUCUUCAUGUAAGGUUUGGGGGUAAAAGUGAAGGAAGAGAAUCAAGUAAUUAACAUAAAAGCUGCUAUUAUCCCUCCUUCUAUACCUGGUCAUGAGACUCAAGUUGAUAAUUGUGUCUUCCCUCUUUUAUUACCUAUUACACAUUUCCUAACUCUUUGCUACCACCUCAACUGAUCAGGAUUUUUUUACCCUCAUUUCUUCAUAAUCUGUGUCCUUUGGUGGCACUAUCUUUUUUGGGUUGCCUCAGUUUUCCACUGAUGAGUAAUCUAGUGAAGAGAAUACUCAAUGGUGGUCUAUGAAGUCUUGGAUUCUGCAUUUGGUCCUUCCUGACCUCAUUGUAUAGUGGUGACCCAAUUUCUCCUUGGUAAGCAGAUCACCUUGGUGAGUGGCACGCCCUCUUUUCUGAUUAUUGGUUCAGUAGAAUGAGAAGCUGAAAAUGGUUAGAAGGCAGUAGCAGCUUCUGACUUAACAGAACCUCACCCAUGUUUUCUGGUUCACAGGGACCUCCACUGAGGCCAGUGAGCCCAAGGUCGCCAGGAUCAGAAGCAAAUAUCCCUUAAGAGGAUACAACAGUGAGAGGCCAUGCCCACAUCCAUGCUCCCAGUCUGGUUUCCAGACUUGGGCAUUCCGUCUAUGGGACAGCACCAUACAUUGGCUGCUGGUUUAAGGUAUGUACCGUGUCCAAUAGCAGGUUUUGCAGACUGCGGUCUUCCAGGAGGCAUAGUAACUGAGCCUUCCGUGGGCCAUUCAACUGGAAUAUGAAGCCAUCUACUUUCUGAGGCAUGUGGAAAGACCACAUGAAUUUAAUUGGAACAAACUCUCUACUGCACUUUCUUUUUACUUUUAAGAAAUGAGUUUCCUGGUCAUAGGCAAUGUGAUUUACAGUGAUGAAUAAGGCAUUCUGUAGGGAAGGAUGGUGCUGGCAGAGCAUUAUGAGCGGGUAAAGCACAAAUAAAUGUAGAGUAUGUAUCUAUUCAUUUUAAGGACAAGUCACUGUCCCCACAAUGCCGGAACAGAUUCAGUGUCAUCAACCUGUCACUAGGUGACUGGCUAUUCAGCUUAGGGAAUAAUCCCAUAUUGGGAACUCAGCACUGACCUCUGCUGAUGGCAGCAAGGGCAUUCAGCUGUGGCACUGAUUAUGUUAACCUUGGGGAGGUGAAGUCCAUGUUGUUGAGACUACCAUAGCUUCUAUCUCAGGAAAGGGUGGAGCAAGCUACUUUUUCAUGGUUCCAUUGAGUUAGUCCCAAUAUGCCCUCUGGUAGGCACUCACAUAGAACGUAAAUAUUUUCACAACCUUGGCCCAUUCAUUGAAGUCUAUCCAUAUAUCCCUUCCCAGUUCUCCUUGUCACCAAUCUACCCUCACAGAAACAUCAAGAAUAAUAUUUGACUGAAUAUCAGGGCACUUUGCCCCAGCUAAGGUGAUAUGUAGAUUAACCAUCACUGUGCUCAUGCAAUUUGCUUGUGCCUGAAUUGGUAGAUAAGAUAAUGCUCAGCUCACAAUGGUGGUGUCUGUCACAUAGUCACAUGAUACUGUGUGACCAGGUCUAGGUUCUAUCAGAGCCUAGUGACAAGUGGGGAACUGCUUUGUCAAUGAAGAAUAGUCAGCAAAAGAGGCCACAGACCUCACACCUUAGAGAUAUCCAUGUAGUUCUUCCAUUGGAGUUCUCCUGAGGCUACAGACAGCAUUUUAUAGUCUAUGUCUGAACACUUUCUCUACCACUGGGUCUGCUUACUUGUGUAGUCCCAGAGGCAGAGCAGCUUGUAUUUCUUGAUCUGGCAUCCCUCAAAACUGGCGGCCUGAAUGGGUCAGAGCAGCGUACCUAAGGGUGGUAUAUGUUAUUCCCCAAAAUCCACAGAUCUACCAAAUAUCAAAUCACUUUGUGGUAGGAAGUGCAAGAUGGAGCAAUUUGUCACUCAUUCCUGACAUCGUUCACAUCCCUGGGUCCCUAGAAAUUUCACAAUGUGGAAGGCCUCUGAACUUUCCUGGGGUUUAUCUCCUAUCUCCCAAAAUGCAUACUUCUUAUUAAGGCACCGAAAAUAUUUGCCACUUCCUGUGCACCAGGUGCAAUUGGCACAAUGUCACCAAUGAAAUACAGUGAUUUGUUUUUAUUUUUUAUUAUUUAUUUAUUUAUUUUUUUAACGUUUUAUUUAUUUUUGAGACAGAGAGAGACAGAGCAUGAACGGGGAAGGGGCAGAGAGAGAGGGAGACACAGAAUCGGAAGCAGGCUCCAGGCUCUGAGCCAUCAGCCCAGAGCCCGACGCGGGGCUCGAACUCACAGACCGCGAGAUCGUGACCUGAGCUGAAGUCGGACGCUUAACCGACUGAGCCACCUAGGCGCCCCAGUGAUUUGUUUUUAGAUAUCAAAAUGAUCAAGUUCUGUGGACUGUAGUACAAUAGUGCGAUAGCAAGGUAGUGGAUGAAGCCUUGUCAUAAAAACCUCAGGUGGAAGUGUACUGCUGUCCUUGCCAUGUGAAGGCAACUAGCUUUGCUGCUGGGAAUUGGAAAAAACCCUUUUCUAGGACUGUAGAUGCACCUAGCAGGUGCCAAGGGUGUUUUUAUUUGUUUUGGUUGAGAUACCCAUCUGGAACUACAGUUGAUUGGCAUCACCAUGUGACUGAAUUCUCCAUAAUCUAUAGUCAUUCUCUACAAUCCAUCUGGUUUCUACACCAGUCAAACAUGAGUUAGAUGCUAAUGUGGUAGUAAUUACCACUCCUGCAUCUUUUAAGUAUUUGAUGGUUACAUUAAUCUGUGCAAUUCUGACAGGGUUACUAUAUUUCUUUGGGUUCACUGUCUUGGUGUGGGGGAGAGGGAAGUUCCAUUUGGAAGGGGACAUUUCCCACUUGGAACUGCCAUAAUGGCCUCAUUUCAUGGGUCAGGAAGCCAGUGUGAGAUUCUGUGAGUAGGUAACAUAUCUAUUAUUAUUAUACAUUCUGGCACUGGGAAGGUAAGACGAGUGUGGUUUCUCAGUCUUAUUGGACCCACUGUAAGAUAGACUUGGACUACUGCUAUUCCAUUUAUCACCUGAUCUCCUUGAGCUCACACUAUGACUUAUGGACCACUGUGCCAGUUUGAAUCUCCUGUGGUUAGCAUGAGUUCAGAAACAGAAUCUAACAGUCCCUGAAAGUUCUGGAUAGUUCCCUUUCCCCAUUUCGUUUAAUGGCCUCUGGUCUCUCUGGGGAAAGAUUGGGGAAGAUUCACAGCAUAGAGGUAUGGCCACAUUUCAGGUGCUUGUUCAAAGAGACUCCCUCACCUUUGCCCCCAAGUCAAAGGAUUCUGGGCCUCUGGGUCCAAACACGGUAAAUCCUGAUUGUCCACCAUGAUUUUCCCCACUAGACCCAGAAUUAUAUAUGUCAAGUAGCACCUAAAUAGUCUGUACAUCCACUGCAGUCCUGAGGAACCCAUGAUUAGGUAGCCAGUGCCAGAGAUCCCUACAGACCCAAACUUUCUAAUUACCACUCCAGUUUCACACCUUAUUAUGGUAAUUGUGUCCACUGUGGCUUUGAGACUCCUGACCCCUACUACACUGGGAUCCCGUUUUUUCCAUUUAAACCAAGGAGUCUAAUUUCAUUGCAACCUCUCCCAUUGUCAUUUCCUGCUUACAGAAAACAGCCAAAAGCUUUUCAAGGAGGUCUGUGAACACUUCACAAUAGAAUUCUUCUGGCCUUGAGAGGAGAGUAUCCUCUGGCCUCCUGGGGAGUGUGGUUAAGGUGUGGCUGUGCAUGUUGUACAGAAUAGAUCCCCUCCAACAUUCUUAACCUCCCAAACCUUCAGUUUCCUUCUCAGAAUGCUAGAAAAGUCCUCAUUAACGGCCAGCCACUGUUGAAUCCAGGCUUUUGUUGGCCAGUAUAGCUAUGACUGCCACUCCCAGCUGCUCAAGCCAGCACAUGAAGUCCUGAAUCUUGGGUGAGCACGCCUGUACCAUUAAAUUCUCCCAUUCAAUGCUCUUACGACUCCCUCCUAUAUAUGCUUCCCAGGCUCCUCCUGGGGGUUCUGCAACCCUUUUGAUGUAUAGGCUCUCUCUCCCCUGUACCAUGCUUUGUCCUUCUCCAUCUGGGCUAUACUAGGACAUAACUCUUACUAUGGGCCUGGAGGCAAUGAGGGCUGUGGAACAAGUCCUGAGGUGACUUUGCCACAUCUGUGUCUGCUCAAAUGUCCUAUGAAUCAGCGUCUCACUUUUGUACCAGUGGAAGGCAUAAGAAUUCUAGUGGGAUUGAACAUUUAAUAGACUCUGUGUGUAUGUCACCUUUAUAAUCAGUCCCUGGGCAUAGCUGCCCAACAAGAGAUCUGUGAGUCUCUCAAAGCUACCAUCAAGGCUUUCUGCAUUUCCAUCCAUGUUCCAAGUAUUCAGGACCUUUGAUUUAUCCCUCCUCUGUAUAUGGUCUCUGGGACUAUCAUAGAUCAGCCACCCCACACCACAGUAAUCACCACUGUCAGCAUAGCUAAGCCACUGGAUCUGCCAACAUUGUGUCUUCCAUCCGCAUUCUUUUAAUGCCACUCAUGGUGAUAAUUGGAACAACUACGAUGCCACUGUAUUUUAUUUUAUUUUAUUUUAUUUUAUUUUUUGAAAUGUUUAUUUAUUUUUGAGAGAAACAGAGAGAGUAUGAGCUAGGGAAGGACAGAGAGAGAGGGGAGCAGAUGAUCAAAAGGGGCUCUGUGCUGACAGCAGGGAGUCCAAUGUGGGGCUUGAACUCAUGAACCAUGAGAUGAUGACCUGAGCCAAAUCAGAUGCUUAACUGACUGAGCCACCCAUGUGCCCUGAUGCUACUGUAUUUUAUGGAUUAACUGCAUUCUAUUUCCCUUUGUCUGGCAAGAGGAUAUCCCUGCCAUACAUCUCAAAUAUGUGAGCAACCCAAUUCUAGAAUCUCAUCUGAGGGUUAUUUUCCUAUAGGGCCAUCCCUGGUACCAUUACUUUAUCAGUCAGUGUCCCAAUGGGACACUGAAGUGGGGUAAUUGCAGAGGGUUUAACAAAGAUAUUUACAAAGUUGUGAGCAGUGAUUAAGGGAAAUCAACAGGGUAUGGUAUAAUACCCUUGGGCUAGAAAAAGCUGAGAUCCCUGGUCUUAUCUAGGUCUGAGUGGUUACCAGAACCUGGAGAGGGGGCUGUAGUUCUAGGAAGAGGCCACAGAAGAGGCUCUGUGGCCUUGGUAAAGGGAAUGCCGUUACUGUCAAUCCUCAGCUCAAAAGGGCAAGAGCCUGGGACAGGGAGGCCCAGACUCCAGGGGAAAACCAGACUCUCAUCCAUGUUCUUGUUCAGGUACAGAAAACCUAGGGGACUCCCAUCAGCACAUCACCCUGGAAAUCCUCUAGCUCUGUGUAGACUAGCUGCAUGAAAAUUGAUAGAGCAUACUUCCUGAUUUUGGAAAAAAAAAGUCACCUAUUAAAGAUAUUUGGGGGAAACUUGGGGAAAUUUGAAUAUAAGAAUUGAUAUUAGAUGAUCUCAAAAAAUUUCAUUAAGUGUGAUUGUUUCUUGCGGACAACAGGAAAAUGUCCUUAUUUUUAAAAUGCAGUUUAAAAAAAAAUGGCAUGGUGUCUGUAAUAUACUUUAGGACAGUUCAGCCAAAAAGGAAAAUAUGUGGUUCUAGAGAGAUGCAGGAAAUAGGGCAAAAUGCUAGUAGUUCUCUAAUCUAGGUGGUGGGUAAAUGAGUGGUCAUUAAUUAAUUCUUCUUUCUGUAUGUUCAAAAUUUUUCAAAAUAUAAAGGUAACAACAUAAUAGGGCAUCUGUGGCCUCCCAUUUCCUCCAAGAAGUGGAAGCAGAUAGAAGCAUUCAGCAGUUGGACAGCUGUUCAGUAAAUGGGGCAGGGUACCAUUUCUCAGUGUAGGGUCACUAGACCAGCCUGUAUAAAAAGUAACUACAGAGCUUGAUAAAAUGCAGAUUCCUGGGCCAGAUUUUUCUGGGCAUCUGCAUAUUUAACAGAUUUCCUGGGUGAGAAGCACAAGGGUAAUAAAGUACCACUGAACUAAAAGUCAAGAGUGUGGGACUGCUGGGUGGCCCAAGUUGGGUAGGCAUCUGACUUCAGCUCAGGAACUAUCUUGUCGUUCAUGAGUUCAAGCCCCGCAUUGGGCUCUGUGCUGACAGUUCAGAGCCUGGAGUCUACUUCAGAUUCUGUGUCUCCCUCUCUCUCUGCCUCUCCCCAGCUUGUUUUCUGUUUGUCUCUCUCUCUCUCUCAAAAAUAAACAUUAAAAAAAAAAGUCAAGAGUGAAACAUCUUCUCUUUGCCACCUAAUAGCUGUGUGAUCUUAGACAAUUUGCUUAACUUCCCCCAUCCCUGAUGGUGUCAUAUGUAAAGCGGUGACAUUAUAUACGUGCUACUUUCCCUACCUCACUGACUAGUUUAUUCCAUAUUGUAUGUUUCUCAUGUGCUCUACAAAAUGCUAUUCAGCUGUAAGGUGAUCUCCUACAGGGUGAGAAAGAAUAACUAUUGCUUACUGAAUGCUUGUUAUGCAUAUUAGUAAGCAUGGCAAGUACAGUAUUUGGUUUGAUGCUCAUAACGAUGAGGAGAGACACAAAUGACACGCUUCUCUUUACAGAUGAGGAAAUAGGCUUGUUCACAGUUGUUGUAUCCAUUUCCUAUUGCUGUGCUAACAAACUGCCACAAACUUAGCGGCUCAGAUUACUCAUUCAUUUGUUCGUUCAUUCAUUCAUUUAUAUUUGUUCUGGAGGUCAGAAGUCCUAAAAUCAAGGUGUCGACAAGGCUGUGUUCCUUCUCGAAGCUCUGGGGGAGAAUCUAGUCCCUUGCCUUUUCUAGAUUCUGAAGGCUAGGCGUGCUUGGCUAGGGCCCCUUCUUCCGUCUUCAAACCCAAAGUGCAGCAUCUUCAAAUCCUUCUCUUCUCCGCCUUUCUCUCACUCUGUGACCUUUGAUUUGUAUGUACCGUCACACCUUCUCUUUUCCUCCAGUCCUCCUGCCUCCCUCUUAGAAGGGCACUUGUGGUUACAUUGGGUCUUCCUGAAUAAUACAGGAUACUUUCCCCACCUCAAAAUCCUUAAACUAAUCACCUCUGCAAGGUCCCUUUUGCCACGUAAGGUAACACAUUUACAGAUUCUGGAGAUUAGGACGCAAACAUCUUUGGGGGCCAUUAUUCUACCUACUGCCAUUGUAUAACUAGCGAGUAUCCAUCUGAUUCCAAAGCCCAUGGCCCUGGGCUGCUCCCUCAAAGAUAACUUGUGCCAGUGACAUGCCAGACACCCUCCAAGCCUCCUCUUCCUCCAUUCGUUAGGAUCCCCUAUACUAUGGUUUAUCAAGCGAGGGGCUGGUCUGGAUUUCGCCCCAGCUGUCGAAUGAAUGUUGAAUGGUAGAUAGCCAACGCCACAAGUAAUGAGUCAGAACAGUCCCAGCAGCCGCACAGGUGCAACAGAGGCUUCGGAUGGAAAUGAAGCCAUGUGGCAGGGCUCUGAACUAUACGGUCACAUCAUCUGGGAUGCUGGGACCUAAGGUUUCCCAUUGCCCUCCACAACACCACUGAGGCACACACAUGCUUUUCUUUCCUUGAUUGUAGAAGCAGUAUUUACUCAUUUUGGAAACUGAAAAUAGAAAUGAGCAUAAAGGAGGAAACAUCACAAAAUUCUCAAAAUUCAGGCAGAUUUUUUAACAUGGUCUGGUUGGCUCCACUUUUUUCCUAUACAUUUUUACACGGUCUAGAUCAUACUAUAUAUGUGAUUUUGCUUCUUGCUUUUUCCCCUGAACAUUAUAUUGUGAAUAUUUCUCCAAAUCAUUGAAAACUCUUUGUAAACAUCAUUUUUAAUGACUGCAUAAUGAUCCAUUGUCAAAAUGUGUCAUUGCUUACUUAAUCAAUACAUUCUUUUUGGACAAUUAGGUUAGAUUUUUUUCCAAUUUUUUUUUGUGCCAUUAACUGCUUCAGUUAAUAUUUUUGUGCAUCAAUCUAUGCAUUAUGAAGUUGCACCUGAUGCUGGAGUUAAGCUUUAAAAUCAAAAUGUAAAACAAAAAUUGAGGAUAGGUAAAAUUAAUCUUGAAAGAAAUCCCUUAAAUCAACCUUAAUCCAUUAAGGCCACCAGAAGCUCAAAAGGUAAGAAUUAACUAUUUGUAUUUCUCUUUGCAUUUAAGCUGUGGCUGUUUUCCCUGGGGCAGUGGAUAACAUAUGGUUAAAUAGGAAAGCUUAAUGGGGUAAAGACAUUUUUCCUCCCUCCUUCCAUCUUUCUUUUCCUCCCUCUAGCCCUUUCAGAUAUAGUUAAGUACAUACGUCACCCCUAUUUUGAUUACGGCUGACCCUUGAACAACAUGGUGGUUAGGGGUGCUUGACGCCCCACACGUUUGAAAAUCUGUAUAUAACUUUGGACUUUCCCCAAACUUAAUGAUUAAUAGCCCACCCACUGUUGACUGAAAACCUUAUCAAUAACAUAAAUAGUUGAUGAAUAUAUAGUUUGCAUGGUAUAUGUAUUAUAUACUGUAUUCUUAUAAUAAAGCUAGAGAAGGGGAACCUGGGUGGUUCAGUCGGUUAAGCAUCCAACUUUUGCUCAGGUCACGAUCUCGAGGUUCGUGGAUUUGAGCCUCGCAUCGGGUUCUGUGCUGACAGCUCAGAGCCUGGAGCCUGCUUCAGAUUUUGUGUCUCCCUCUCUCUCUGCACUUCGCCCACUCACACUCUGUGUCUUUCUCUCUCUCAACAAUAAAUAAAAAUGUUAAAACAAAUUUUUUAAAAAAGCUAGAGAAAUAAAAUGUUAUUAAGAAAAUUGUAAGGAAGAGAAAAUACAUUUAGAGUACUGUCCUGUAUUUAUCAAUACCACAAGUUUGUGUCCUCUAUGAGUCAUCUGUCAGUACGUACAUCAAUAUAGCCUUAUGUGACAUAAAACACUGCAGAUGUCAUAUGUAUAACUGACGCUAGACAUAAAAAAUGAAAAGAUAAUGUACAGUCUGUGUAUGUAUAAGUUUUUUUUAAUGUUUAUUUAUUUUUGAGAGAGAGAGAGACAGGGUGUGAGUGGGGGAGGGACAGAGAAAGAGGGAGACAUAGAAUCCAAAGCAGGCUCCAGGCUCUGAGCUGUCAGCACAGAGCCCAAUGCAGGGCUCAAACACAUGAACCGUGAGAUCAUGACCUGAGCUGAAGUUGGACGCUCAACCGACUGAGCCACACCCAAGUGCCCCUAAAUUUUAACUUUUUAUAAAAGACGUGUGUAUCGUUUAUGGUAGCAAAUGAUAAAAUAGGCUAGUAUAUCUAUAUUUUAUGCAUUCAUACAUGACCUACCUCACCUUUCCUUAUUUUUUUUUUUUUGAUAUUUCUAGGCUGCACUGUUUAUUUGUGAGUUUUUUCAAACUGUCACAGAUCUCCAAAAAGCUUCCCAAUAUGUUUGUUGAAAAAAAUUCACGUAUGAGUGGACCCACGCAGUUCUAACCUGUGUUGUCCAAGGGUCAGCUGUAUUUCCCUAAGUGGAUGCUCUGAAGGGUGAUUCCUGAGACCAAGUGCAUGCUGUGUGGUCAGUGGGGUGUUUCAAACACUGCUUCAGUCUGCUGGGCCCUGCCUCUUGUUCCCUCAUUCCUUUGACCAGCUAUGUGAGGGGCAACCUGACAACCUUCCUGUGGCCUCUAGAUUCCUCUUUAGGGCAUUUCUAAAGCCUUGGAACACCCAAGUGUGAAAUCUGGAAGCAUUAGUGCCUGCGAGCCCACUUGAACCUUCGGUGAUGGGGCCAGUAGAUGAUUGCUUCCCCUUCCUGCCCAGGGUGAGAAUUUUUUUUUUUAAGUUCAUUUAUUUCUUUUGAGAGAGACAGUGCAAGUGGGGGAGGGGCAGAGAUGGGGGGCGGGGAGAGAGAGAGAGAGAGAGAGAGAGAGAGAGAACCCCAAGCAGGCUCCCUGCUGCCAGCGCAAAGCCUGACACGAGGCUCAAUCCCACGAAUGGUGAGAUCAUGACCUGAGCUGAAAUCAAGAGUUGGAUGCUUGGGGCGCCUGGGUGGCUCAGUUGGUUGAGUAUCUGACUUCGGCUCAGGUCAUGAUCUCACAGUUUGUGAGUUUGAGCCCCACAUCAGGCUCUGUGCUGACAGCUCAGAGCCUGCUUCGGAUUCUGUGUCUCCCUCUCUCUGCUCCUCCCCUGCUCACACUUUGUUUCCCUCUCCCUCAAAAAUAAAUAAACAUUAAAAAAAAAAAAAGAGUUGGACGCUUAACGGACUGAAGCACCCAGGUGACUCAGGGUGGGAACUUUUAAGAUGCAUUUCACGAGCCUCCUCAGAAGGUCCUGCAGGUUUGAGCCCCAGCCACCAACUGUGGAGUUACCUGAUAACACAACCCCAGGCUGGCGUCUCUCCUUUGGUUUCCCUGUGCGUGUUCCGCACUGCUUCCUGGGAUCACCAUCAAGCCACCAUGCCAGGCUUUGCUUCAGGGACACCCAAGGCAAGACAUCAGGUGUACCCUACUGGCAGGUGACAAAGGUCCAGUUAUCCUGACUCUUAGAACCUUGAGUAUCAUCACUCUGUAAUGGUUGAUAAUUGUUAUGCCAAACAAGGGUACCACAUUGUUGUUCCAAUUUAAAUUUCUGCGGCUAAUAGUGAGGUUGAACAUUCUUUUUCCAUGGAAAAGUUUUUUUUCUCUAUGUGUUGUAAUUCUUUCUUUGAUGUGUUAAUUAUUUAAAGUAUCUUUAUAAUUCUGGAGUUCUAAUUUUGCUGUUUAUUGACAAUUGUCUUUUCACAUAUAAUGUAAUCUUGGAUAAUAUGCCCUGUCAUCUGGCCUGCUGGGGCUCCUCAGAGAGGUUUUUUCUUUUUUAAGUUUAUUUAUUUUUGAGAGACACACACACACACACACACAGAGCUAGAGCGUGCAGGGGGAGGAGCAGAGAGAGAGGGAGACAUAGAAUCCCAAGCGGGCUCUGUGCUGACAGCCUGAUAGCAUGGAUGCUGAUGCAGGGCUUGAACUCAGGGCUCGAACCCUGAGAUCAUGACCUGAGCUGAAAUCAAGAGUUGGACCUUCCACUGACUGCACCACCAAGGCACCUCUCCUCAGAGCAGUUUUGCAUUUGUUUCUGUCAGACCACAAGGGGGAUUACCAUUCUAUGAUCACUUUUUAUAUUCUGUCCUUGGCUUGCAGUUCUGGGAUUACUAUGAGAUAAUACUCUUCAAUGUAAAAAAAAAAAAAAAUCCUGUGGCAUUUCUUCCACCAAAAGGUUAAGUAAGACCAGCUUCCUCAUUGUCCCAGUUUGCCAGUGGACUGAUUUUUUUUUCUGGUGCACCCUUUCACUUCAGAGACUCCUGUGGGGGUCUUAAUUCCAACUCCCUCCCUUUCUCAGGCCCAGGGCUGCAGCCAUUAAUACUCAAAUCUUUGGGUUUCCAAGGCCAGCCAACCCCUAGAGAUAAGAUAAAGUGAGAGCUCUCCCAGGCCAAUGUGGUUUUGUUUUCUCUUCAUUUUUUGGCCUUUGGGGGUUUCUCUUACCACGACCACCCCCCAUCCCCUACCCCAACCUCAGCUAUGCAUUUAAAAAGGGUUUGUCAUGUUUUACCCAGAAUUGUCUUCAUUUUCUAACAGGAAAGCAUUCGGGCUAUCUAGUUCUAUGUUGGUGGAAACAGAUGUUCUCACUCCAGCAAAUCUUUGAGGCUUGGAAAAGGAGGCUGUGCUGAUGCCUGAUGAGGAUAAAUCUCAGAGGGAUGAAUCUUGGGCUCCUGGCUCAGCUGGCCUCCUCCACAUGAAGAUUCCGGAACAGACUUCCUCUCCGCUCCAGUGCUAGGGGGUUUUCUAGUUUAUUUCCCAGGAGCCUAGCACAGUACCUGGCAUACCAUUAGUGCUUUGUAAAUGCUUGUAGGAAAUGGUGUUCCUUACCCUUUUCCAUUAUGAAACUUCUCAACAUUCAGGCUUUGGGGAUCUGUGUUCAGUUCCUAUUUUUCUUGGAAAUAUGUACAAGAGUCAAGCUUAGGACUAAUGUCCUUAUGGUUUUUCCACAUUCAAUCUAUCAGCAAGGCCUUUUGUUUCUACUCCAAAAAUAUGUCUUGAAUGUUCCAUUUCUUUCCAUGUCCACUGCCACUCCUUCACAAAGGGUGCUAUUGAUGGGCCAGGGCAAGCAUUUCAUGAGGGGGAAGUUGGUAGUCUCCCUCCAGACCCACCCACUGCCAGCCCAUUCUCCUUUAUCAGAGCAGAAUAAUUAGGCUGCCUGACUGCUUCUAGUCCUUCCAAUAUCUCCCAGUGCACUUAGAUUAAAAUUAGGAUGCCUUACCAUGGCCUCAAGGCCAUCGGUUCCUGGUGACGGCUACCUCUCUUAAUUCACCAUCCGCUCCCCCACCCUCUUGGCUCCCAUCCAACAUUUACUUUGAGUUACUCAAAUCCAUGAGUUCUUUACUGCCUCAGGGUACACGGCACUCUUCUGCUCAAUCUUGGAAUUGGAGUUUUUUACUAGAAUUUAGGAAUGCACUAAAAUGUCAACAGUCUUUGCUUCCCUCAGGGGGGUAAUUACAAUUUAUAACUAUUUUUCCAGUUUGGUUGUUUUAUGUUUUUUUGUGUGUGUGGUUAUCUGUCUACCCCUUUAGGAUGUAAGCUCCAUGUAGGGAGAGACAUUCUCUCUCUUUGUCAUUGCUGGGUCCAUAGCAUAUAGUAUGCACUCAAUAAAUACAUGUUGAAUGACAGAGUGAACAAAUGAAUCAUAGGUUCUCUUUAAGGGAUUCAGCCCUCCUCAGCUGUUUUCCUGGAUCUCUAGCCAAGGACAGUCAGGGCCUUCCAUGAUUUGUAGAGAUAAUUAUCUCUUGGAGAUCCCUGAAUGGGAUCUGCCCUGAAUUUUCCUUCCCUUCCCUCCCCUCCCCUCCCCUCCCUUCCCCUUCUCUCCCCUUGCCUUUCCUUUCUUUUUUCUUUUCAGACAAAAAUCAUAUUCAGGACUAGAAUGAGAAUUCUUCCUAGAGAGGGAAUUUUCUUUGUUGGGAUAAAUAGCUUGACUCAGCUCUUGGGGAUACAAGAUGAGACUAUGCAAGGGCUGGUUUUGGGCAGGGACCCAAGCAAUAAUAAGAGUUGUUUGACCUGCUUUUCAGGAGCAAAUGAGGAAAAUUUUGUCUCAGUUUGAGGGGAAUGGAGAGAGGAGACAAGAGAUGACUAGGAGAUGGUGACAAGCUGUUUGUGGUCAAGAUUUUGACCAGAAGAAGCAGAAGCUCGCUCUCUCAUGAAGUGGCUGGAACAACGGAGAUUCUGAGGAGGGUCCGGGGAGCAGUGGUUCCAGAGCUGCAGGCCCAGGCUCCUCCCAUCUCUC
rnacentral:lncRNA from 1 species